rnacentral:lncRNA from 1 species
AUGAGAGACACAGGAGCCAAAGGAAACACCACCCACAGCAGCGUUCCAGUUGUAACCGAUGUUUGCCUGAGUUUACUUGCUUGUGAUGCAGACAGGUGCACAUUAAAAAUAAUAAUCUUCGAUUCUCUCUGGUUCUUGCUUCUAGAAGCCAAUGCAAGGCCUUCAUCAUCUUCAUUUCAAGGCUUAGGCCGAGUUUCCUGGGAAUCCUGUGAAUCCUUGGAGAAGUCGAUGCUCCAGAUGUGCUUCCAAGUUGAGCGGCUCACCAGCAACCUGAACUUCGCGACGUUUUUGUUUCUCCUUGCAUUUGCAUUCUCAGGGACAGGAGGUUCCGUCGCAAUUGUCCUGGGUUCCAGCCCAUCAAAGCCAGGUGAGUCACGGAUCCCAGGUCUGUUAGUGUCUUCUUUGUGGUUGUCACCAUUGCCACCGUUUUAGAUUUUGCCUCUUUUAGGGAAGCCAGGCUGCAGAGUGGUGAAAGCUUAGAUAGUAGACACCCCCACCUGGCCAUUACCUAGUUUUAAUCUCUCUGGGCCUCAUCUUCUCAUCUACAGCAUGGGAAUCAAAGCUAUUUUAAGAUUAACUGAGUAAAGCAUAAUUUUUCAAGAAGGAAAAUUAGUAUUUUAGUAUCCUGUUUUAUGGCUUUCGGAUCUAACAGUCACUACACACACCUUAGACCAGAGGAUAUAAUGCCUACAUUUCUGUGAAACUCCCUCAAAUUCCACCACUCUGUCCUGCCCACAUUUGGCAGAAAUUUAAUAUUUAAUUUUUUAUUUGAGUCCAGUAUAUUCGACUGCCUGCAGCGGAUACAAGUUUAAGAAAAAAGAGAAAUAAAAAAUACAUCUGGGAGUUCCUGUCGAGGUGC